rfam:Limnohabitans planktonicus II-D5 scaffold00002, whole genome shotgun sequence.
CCCUGUCUGCGGUGCAUGCCGGGCUUUAUAUUUCCUUGAACCAAUGCUCUUAGAGCCCGGGCUUGGAACAUUGGCUGGUGAGCGUGAUCAUCUCGCGUCAGAUGAACCCAACGCCAGUCUGCCCUCGCCCACCUGAACCCCCGGUUCAGGAUGCCGGUCCGGUGGCACUCGCAGACACCUU